AAAGUAGCAAGUGAGGCUGGAGUAGGCGGCGAGAAUUCAGAGGGAGUUGGCAAGCAGAUGGAGGGUAGGUGUAAUGACAAAUUAAAAGGGACUAAACUUCGCUAUGAAGCCCAGGCUAGCCAAGAACCCAAAGCAAUCCUCCUGCCGCAUCCCCCCGAGUAGUGGGAUUUCAGGCCGGGUGUUGUGCGAUGCUGGGGACUGAACCAACUGAGAGACGCGCGCAGCCAGGACGAGCGUUUCGGAUGCAGGACUCCCGCCUGAGCCUCUCACCUGCGCCUGGAUGUAGAGAGACACACAGCCGAGCGACAGGCGGUAAGGGCGCAGCAGCGACAGGCACCUGACCAGAUGCUCCUCGCCGGCAGACAGUUCCUCCGUGUCGAUGUGGUUCACGCCGAGGUGGAACUCGAUCACCGCGAGGCGCAGCGCCCGCUGCGCUCCGGGGCCCUCGGCCUCCCGGGGCUCGCCCGCGCCCAAGGCCUGGUCCCCCGGCCCAUCGUCAGCGGCCCGCUCGUCCUCGUCCUCGGGCGCCGGGCCCAGCAGCGCGCGCACCUCCUCCAACAGCGCGCGCGCGCCGUACUUGGACUUGUACGGCUCCUUCUCCGGGUUCUUGUGCAGCUCCACCCGCGACAGGGCCAGCGCUGCCUGGAACUUCUCGCGGAUCUCUGGCCCCGGAGCGUUCGCCAUCGCAGCCUGAGCUGACGGCCACCUUCCCCGCCCGUGGACCGUCAGCCACUGGAGGCCUCCGCGUUGCGACUCUUCACUUACGACGCGUCGUGACGGUGGGGCGCCGACCAAUGAAGUCGGUAGAGGGGAGCGCUAGACGCUUGGCAGCAGCCAAUGGGAGGGCGUUCUGGUCGCCACAACAGCGGUCGUCAGGGAAACGAAGCUGUCAGGGAGUACAGCGCUUUCCGCUGCCACCCGUGAGCAGUAUGGCUUCUCCCGCUUCAUCCCAAAAUGUAGUUUAUACAAAAGUGUUCAGAAUCAGAAUGAUUCUUAGGGGUAAGGUACUUGCCUAUCGUAGACUCAAUCCCCAGCUUAAAUGAAAUUCAGGAUAUUGUUAACACUAACAUCUUUCCAUAAUUGCUCAGUUGAUAGGCAGGAAUCUUUCACUAUUAAUGUAUUAGGCUAUCACAGUUAAAAAUUAUAGUCGUAGGAAACCUGUACCACGGUCUCAGGGAUCAAAUUCAGAUCCUCAGGCUCAGCCUCCACAGCCUUUACUCACUAGAGCCAUGUCACACCACCACCGCCCAGCCCCUGAAAAUUUUAUAAAGGCUCCGAGCUAGGCAUGGUGCCAAUGAUCUGCAGGCUUAUAUACAGGGGCCAGUGUUGAUAUGUAUCAUAAUGCUAAAUUCUGUAGCCUACGAUUGAAUUCUCAUGUUUA
rnacentral:lncRNA from 1 species